rnacentral:rRNA from 1 species
UACGUAGGGUCCGAGCGUUGUCCGGAAUUACUGGGCGUAAAGAGCUCGUAGGUGGUUUGUCGCGUUGUUCGUGAAAACUCAAAGCUUAACUGUGGGCGUGCGGGCGAUACGGGCAGACUGGAGUACUGCAGGGGAGACUGGAAUUCCUGGUGUAGCGGUGGAAUGCGCAGAUAUCAGGAGGAACACCGGUGGCGAAGGCGGGUCUCUGGGCAGUAACUGACGCUGAGGAGCGAAAGCGUGGGGAGCGAACAGG